rnacentral:rRNA from 1 species
UCGAGAAUUUUCUCAAUGGGCGAAAGCCUGAAGGAGCGACGCCGCGUGGGGGAUGAAUGGCUUCGGCCCGUAAACCCCUGUCAUUUGUGAACAAAUUGCUUCACCCAACACGUGGAGCAUUGAUUGUAACGGAAGAGGAAGGGACGGCUAACUCUGUGCCAGCAGCCGCGGUAAUACAGAGGUCCCAAGCGUUGUUCGGAUUCACUGGGCGUAAAGGGUGCGUAGGCGGUUUGACAAGUCUGAUGUGAAAUCCCGCAGCUUAACUGCGGAACUGCAUUGGAAACUGUCUGACUAGAGGAAUGGAGGGGAGACUGGAAUGCUUGGUGUAGCAGUGAAAUGCGUAGAUAUCAAGCGGAACACCAGUGGCGAAGGCGAGUCUCUGGACAUUUCCUGACGCUGAGGCACGAAAGCCAGGGGAGCAAACGG